UCAAAUAAAAUGAGACACUGCCAAAAAGCCCCAAUUUCUCUCUCAAAUCUCUCUCCCUCUCUCUCUCUCCCUCCCUCUCCCCUCUCUACUGCUCUCACUGUCGCCAUGGUCUUUGGAAGCUUUGGGAAUUGGAUCCCCUAAUUGAAAAGAUGAUCUGCCUACCUCCCAUCGUGAAUAGAGGCUCUGCACUGUCGGAAGGUCCGCCCGCCAUUAAUUUUGGUGAGAUCCAAGCACGGUAAUUGUACGAGGAGUUCUAACUAGGUGGAGGUCCUAGCCCCUAAUGGGUAUCCUUCCCACUUCUUCAAAAGUGCUUGGACCCUUUAGAAUUUGGGUUGUGCAAUCAAAUUAGGGCUUGAAUUCUAUACUCUGCUUGCUGUGAAUUUCGUACUUUAGGGUCUUGGGACAAGUGAGUGCGAGUCCAAGACCAGGAGCUUUUGAGAGCAGGUCAAUCCAAGGAACAGAUAGACAAGGAUGGAGCUAUUCUAGAACGAGUCAUGCAAGAGCUUUCUUCAAUUGGUCUAAUGUCGGAGGUCGCAGUGGUGAUGUCCCAAUAGUGCAGAUUAGUGCUCUUAAAGGGAAUAAUAUAGACAACCUUUUCGAAAUUGUAAUGCUAGUUGCAGAGGUCUUGAACAUUCCUCCACCUCCAAGUUUAACGUGGCUACUUGAAAGGUGAUUUUGCUGCCAUGUAUGUUUUAAGAUUGACUUGCCAAAGUUCAAUUUUUUUCUUUCUUUCUUUUAUUCAUGCGCUGUACAGUACCACAAUUUGAACAGAGAAUAGAAAAGCCAAAAGACUUUCAUCAUUGAUCUUCUUGCCGCUUACUUCAAUUUUGGGGAAAAUCAAAACAUGAGACCAAUUAUAGACUUGCAGAUGCUUUAGUUUCUUUGCUUCGAUUAUAAUGUUGCCUUGCAGACACCAUACAAGCCGUGAUUGGUUAAGCUGUGGCCUUAAUGAUUAAGAUAAGAGGAGCUUGCACUGGAAUGAGCUCAUUAUUUGACAACAGCGGAGCUUGUGAGUCUCAGUGAGCAGCAGCUUGUGGACUAUGAUCAUGAGGAAGUGAGAGGCUUGUCUUGUUAAGCUUUCAUGAACAAGAGCUAAAGCUGCUAAUAUAUGCUUUUGCCUUUGAAAUAUAGGUUUGGAUCUUUUCCUUCAAGUCUAAGAAUAAUG
rnacentral:lncRNA from 1 species